GACGACCGCUGGCGGCGUGCUUAACACAUGCAAGUCGAACGGAAAGGCCCUGCUUUUGUGGGGUGCUCGAGUGGCGAACGGGUGAGUAACACGUGAGUAACCUGCCCUUGACUUUGGGAUAACUUCAGGAAACUGGGGCUAAUACCGGAUAGGAGCUCCUGCUGCAUGGUGGGGGUUGGAAAGUUUCGGCGGUUGGGGAUGGACUCGCGGCUUAUCAGCUUGUUGGUGGGGUAGUGGCUUACCAAGGCUUUGACGGGUAGCCGGCCUGAGAGGGUGACCGGCCACAUUGGGACUGAGAUACGGCCCAGACUCCUACGGGAGGCAUCAGUGGGGAAUAUUGCACAAUGGGCGGAAGCCUGAUGCAGCAACGCCGCGUGCGGGAUGACGGCCUUCGGGUUGUAAACCGCUUUCGCCUGUGACGAAGCGUGAGUGACGGUAAUGGGUAAAGAAGCACCGGCUAACUACGUG
rnacentral:rRNA from 1 species